GAGUGCCCAAAGGGAUUACAUGUAUUUCCGACACUUUGAUAUACGGGAGUUCGGAUGUCUUGAUUUGGUGUGAAUGCCGGAACAUUUUUUCGGAAUCCUAAAAUUUCAAGCAGAACACCCACUUGCCUGCGGCAGGGAAUAAUAUCAAACCUUUGGGUCCUGA
rnacentral:other from 1 species